rnacentral:rRNA from 1 species
AGUCCCCAGGAAUGUGGCUCCCCUCGGGGAGUGUUAUAGCCUGGGGCGCAAUGCGCUCAGCCGGGACCGAGGACCGCGCUCCGGCUAGGAUGCUGGCGUAAUGGUUGUCAGCGACCCGUCUUGAAACACGGACCAAGGAGUCUAACAUCUGUGCGAGUGUUUGGGUGUCAAACCCAUGCGCGGAAUGAAAGUGAAUGAAGGUGGGAGCCCCCUCGGGGGUGCACCAUCGACCGAUCCUGAUGUCUUCGGAUGGAUUUGAGUAGGAGCAUGGCUGUUGGGACCCGAAAGAUGGUGAACUAUGCCUGAAUAGGGUGAAGCCAGAGGAAACUCUGGUGGAGGCUCGCAGCGGUUCUGACGUGCAAAUCGAUCGUCAAAUUUGGGUAUAGGGGCGAAAGGUAUGUUGAUUCCUCACUAACGCAAUAAUUGAUGGGCUGGGUGCUGACUUCUCAUAGACUAAUCGAACCAUCUAGUGACCACGGCUACUAGAGAUACAGCCAGACGAGCCUUCGGGGCUCCAGUAGCCCCCGCGUGCGCGGGGGCGACACCGUCGGUCUUCGGGGACGCCUUCUAGGCUACCCGCACUGAGCUUCGGCUCAGUCCCUAAGUGGCGGUGGCCGCGGACCUCCGCGGU